rnacentral:ncRNA from 2 species
GCCUUGCAACGGGGGCGUCCGCAUCGCGCGGGCUGAGAAGCACCCUUCGAACCUGAACCGGAUCAUGCCGGCGGAGGAAGUUGCGGGGAUGCUUCG